UACGUAGGGUGCAAGCGUUGUCCGGAAUUAUUGGGCGUAAAGAGCUCGUAGGCGGUCUGUCGCGUCGGCUGUGAAAACCCGGGGCUCAACCCCGGGCCUGCAGUCGAUACGGGCAGACUAGAGUGCGGUAGGGGAGACUGGAAUUCCUGGUGUAGCGGUGAAAUGCGCAGAUAUCAGGAGGAACACCGGUGGCGAAGGCAGCUCGCUGGGACGGUACUGACGCUGAGACGCGAAAGCGUGGGGAGCAAACAGG
rnacentral:rRNA from 1 species